rnacentral:rRNA from 1 species
UUCCUACGGGAGGCAGCAGUGGGGAAUAUUGCACAAUGGGCGGAAGCCUGAUGCAGCAACGCCGCGUGCGGGAUGACGGCCUUCGGGUUGUAAACCGCUUUCGCCUGUGACGAAGCGUGAGUGACGGUAAUGGGUAAAGAAGCACCGGCUAACUACGUGCCAGCAGCCGCGGUGAUACGUAGGGUGCGAGCGUUGUCCGGAUUUAUUGGACGUAAAGGGCUCGUA